UUUCCGUAGGUGAACCUGCGGAAGGAUCAUUAUUGUAUAACCGAGGUGCGUGGGCUGUCGCUGACCCGAAAGGUCGUGCACGCCCGAGUGCCCUCACACACAUCCAUCUCACCCCUAUGUGCACCACCGCGUGGGUCCCCCUUUGGCUUGUUCGGAGGGGGGCUUACGUUUUCACACAAACUCUGUAUGCAGUGUAGAAUGUAUUUUUUGUUUUUGCGAUCACGCAAUCAAUACAACUUUCAACAACGGAUCUCUUGGCUCUC
rnacentral:misc_RNA from 1 species